GUAGCCUAGUGGACAUGGCAUCUGCCCGGUAAGCGGAACACUGUGGGUUCGAUUCCCAUCCCUGGACA